GUUUGUGUGGCUCAGUUGGUAGAGCACGGUGCUUGCAAUGCCAGAGAUGUGGGUUCGAUUCUCACAGGGAACC
rnacentral:tRNA from 1 species